GCAGGAUUUUGCUGUACAAGGAUAUCCUCAACAGGAUUAUUCUCAAACUGGUUAUCCCCAGCAAGUACCUUAUCCACAGCAGCAGCAGCAAGAAGCACUAGUUGGGUAUCCACAGCAGGAGCCACAAGGAUAUGGAAGAACAAACCCUGGUACUGAUGAGUCUACUGGCAUUCGUGAUGAACCACCACCUCCUUAUUGAGCUCAUUGAUGUUAUAUGUUUUAUAUUUUUGUACUAUUUAGUACAUGCUCUUAUUUCAAUAGUCUACAUUUCUUUUAUUUUCUGUCAGAAUAGGUUAAUGCUGAUUCUAUAUGAAUAAUACUUUUCUGUCUCUUUAUAUUUCAAUUUGAAUACCAGCUCCACCCUAAAGUUAUAUCAUUGCUAUGAAGCUGUACAUGAUACUAUACUUGAAGAAUUAUAACAUGUUGCUGCACUCUCAUGGCUCUACUGUUGGCUCUGCUCAGAGACAUUUCUUUCUAACUUUACUCCUUAUCUGUUUGAGUUUCAGUUUUAUCGAAGGGUCAAUAGUGUUGGCGUAUAUGGUAUUGGGUCAUCGUCAUCAAGCAGUCAUUCAAGCUACAGUUACUAUAGGAAAGAGAGAGUACUUAAGAUUUAUACUGAUGAUGACAAUCCAAGAGACAAAGAGGAUUGAGUUCAUUUAGUGGAAAUGUGUGUUUGUGUGGCCCGGCUUGUAGACUGUCUCCCCUCUUCAGCUAUUAAUAAUUAUUCAUUAUUUAAUGGUGAUUUACAUUGUCUUUUAGAGUGUUAUUUUUCUUAGUAGUUUUAUUAUUGUUAUUAUUACUAU